rnacentral:lncRNA from 1 species
AACGACAAACACAGGGAAAGAGAAGAAUUACCCAAUAUAUGUUCUCUAGGCCUUUUAGAAAACAUGGAGUUGUUCCUUGGGCCACGUGCAUGCAAAUCUAUAAGAAAGGCAAUACUGUAGACAUCAAGCGAACGGGUACUAUUCAAAAAGGAAUGCCCAAAAGCAUUACCUGGGAAAAACUGGAAGAGUCUACAAUGUUACCCAGCAUGUUGUUGGCACUGCUGUAAACAAAUUAAGGGCAAAAUUCUUGCCAAGAGAAUUAACGUGCACAUUGAGCACAUUAAGCGCUCUAAGACCCAAGAUAGCUUCUGAAAUGCAUGAAAGAAGAUGAUCAGAAAAAGAAGGAAGCCAAAGAGAAAGGUACCUGGUUUCAGCUGAAGCACCAGCCUACUCCACCCAGGGAAUCCCACUGUGUGAGAACCAACGGGAAGGAGCCUGAGCUGCUGGAACCUAUUCCCUAUGAAUUCAUGGC